ensembl:lncRNA
GUGUGUGUGAGACUGUGUGUGUCACUGAAGUGUGUUUGAUGAGGUGUGUGUGUGUGUGUGUGUGUGUGUGUCGUUGCAGUCAAUACGAACAUCAACCUCUCGUCUGUUGUUCUUGGUUGUGUUCAUCAUCCGGCAGGCUUUCUCUGCGCUCUCAGGAGAGUCGAAGCACACCCUGCCGCAGCCUUUGGAUUUGCCGUUCUCCCUCUUUAUCUCAGCGUACAUCCCCUGACCUGAAGAACACAGCUGCUGCUCUUGAUUCUAUUAAUGUGCUGCAUAUCAGAAAUGAGAGUUAACACACGUACCACAGUGACUGAACUUCUGCUUGAGCUUCUG